UCAUUUUGACCGCGCUCUUUAUCUUUCCAUUUUACUCUUGCUUAUCUUUAGCCGGACCUCCGCAUUUAUCUCUGGAAAUUAACCACAAAUUCGAAUUCUCCCUCAUCCCUUCCGGCUUUAUCUCUGAUAAAUUCAAGAUAUACGUUUUCUUCAUCAUCUCCUCUAUUCAAUCUAGGGUUUUUACGAGCUUUUGAUUGCUGAUUUUCGUUUUUGUGUAAUAACCACUUUUGUUUGCUCAUAUUUUCAACUUCCUCAUGUUUUUAUUGAUUGGAGCUUGCGAAGGAACUGAUGGCGAUGAACCAAGGUUGUCGACCCAAUCAGUGAUUCCUAUCGGAUGACCCUAAAUCACAACAGAUAUUUCAACAUAUGAACAACUACAACAAUACAUAGUUUGAAGUGGCAAUGUUUAUUAGAGGCAUGGAUGACAGAAUUGGUAUUUGGCCUUGAUUUAUCAGGAUGCAUUGUAGUGUCAGCAUUUCUUGAACUAAUAUUCGCAGCUAGAUCGUACAUGUGAAGGUGAUAUUGGACUACUGGAGAUUCGUCAUUGGAUGAAAAUUUGAACCUCUAAUAUUUAUAAGAGGAAUGUACUUAAAUUAUUUACAGGUUAUAACAGUAUGCAACCCAUAAUAGCAAGGUGCUUCAAUUUUUUAUACAUA